GUCAGUUCCUGCUUAACCCUCAAAGUGAAGUGUCGUCUCAUUAUUGGGGGAGGAUUUAUUGUAUGCUGUUCCAGUUUGACUGCUAGGAGUGUAAACCUAUUCGCAUGGUUUUUCCUAUUCGGCUGUAUACAACAUUCAUAUGCUUGAGAGCAUUCAUAUGCUUCUCCAGUUCGUGGUUGUGGUGUCUGCUGCAGUGCUUGGAGUCCUCAGGAAGCGCUAGGAGCAUCCUUCAACGGAGGUACCCAGUCGGGGUGCCAGGUGAUCCGUUACAAGGGCCCACAAAGGU